ACAUGACUCUCGGCAACGGAUAUCUCGGCUCUCGCAUCGAUGAAGAACGUAGCGAAAUGCGAUACCUGGUGUGAAUUGCAGAAUCCCGCGAACCAUCGAGUCUUUGAACGCAAGUUGCGCCCGAGGCCUUCUGGUCGAGGGCACGCCUGCCUGGGCGUCACGC
rnacentral:rRNA from 4 species